rnacentral:lncRNA from 1 species
GGAAAAAAAAAAAAUCAAUUUUAUUUGAUUUUUUUUUAAAAAAAAAUAUAGCAUGUUGUCUGCUUCAUUCAUUAGAAAUAUAACUAGACUACAUGAGCGAGGUACUAGACGUCAGUCGAGAUGAAGAAAGAAGAAAAAAAAAGAAAUGGUUAACUGAAUACGAAAUAGCUACUUUGCUGAGAUAAAUUUCCCACAAGUUUUUGAAGUACCUGAUUUUAUUGACGGCUACAAAUGGGUCCGCACUAACUUUUCUAAAAAUCACAUCAUUUUUGACAUUCCAAAUAACUCAUCACCAGGCUGUCAGUUCGAUCAGCCUAGAACGAAUAAACUGAGUUCUAUAUCUUGACGUCUAAUUAUCCCAAAUGACAGUCACAUCAUCACCCAAAUUUAUAAACCGGAUCCUCUGUAAGGCUGUCACCACUAGAAAUUUACUAAAUAUGCAUUGC